rnacentral:lncRNA from 1 species
UUCUACGCAUUUUCACCGCAUUUCCCUCCCGAGGAUUCUCUAGAAACAGCCUGGGUCUGAAAUGUCCCUGAGGGCGACCCAGACCACCGCAGGAGCAUCAAACCAUUACCGGCCAGGAAUCACGUGUUUAGUCUGCAGAGAGAUGCUGUGAGAGCUGAGGACUCUGAGACAGAGAGACGCUACUACUCUCUUCAAGCUCUCAUGACCUCUGGUGUAGAUAUCUUCGUCAACUUUCUCCUAAUCGGUCUUCACAUUUUGCACUCACCCCUUUGUGCAUGGCCUUGAAAGUGCUCAUCUGGGAUACAGUGUGAGUGCAGACGUGAUUGCAACUGCAAGCAUUUUGUGCCCAUGCCCUGGGCAUCCAAGCCUCUCCAUAUCCCAUAUAUUGGACAGGAAGACAGAGGACAGUCUCUUUGAAGUCACCAAAUACCUCAGCGACUGCAGGUCCUGGGCGGGAUCUCCUGCCACCCCUAAAAACCUGACACGUGAAUCUGGGACCUCUGGACCUUCUACUCUGAUUGAGGUGGAGAGGUUCGGUGGAAAGAGGGCUUAGCCAUCGUGGCCCACUAAUCAAUUCAGCACAAUGCCUAGCACAUAGUAGGUAAUCAAUAAAUGUUUGCUGGAUUAAAUGAGAAGAACCA